ensembl:snRNA U6 U6 spliceosomal RNA
GUGCUUACUUCAGCAGCACAUAUACUAAACUUGGAAUGAUACAGAGAAGAUUAGCAUAACCCUUGUGCAAGAAUGACAUGCAAAUUUGUGAAGCAUUGCAUAUUUUC